GAUGAACGCUGGCGGCGUGCCUAAUACAUGCAAGUCGAGCGAACGGACGAGAAGCUUGCUUCUCUGAUGUUAGCGGCGGACGGGUGAGUAACACGUGGAUAACCUACCUAUAAGACUGGGAUAACUUCGGGAAACCGGAGCUAAUACCGGAUGAUAUUUUGAACCGCAUGGUUCAAAAGUGAAAGACGGUCUUGCUGUCACUUAUAGAUGGAUCCGCGCUGCAUUAGCUAGUUGGUAAGGUAACGGCUUACCAAGGCAACGAUGCAUAGCCGACCUGAGAGGGGGAUCGGCCACACUGGAACUGAGACACGGUCCAAACUCCUACGGGAGGCAGCAGUAGGGAAUCUUCCGCAAUGGGCGAAAGCCUGACGGAGCAACGCCGCGUGAGUGAUGAAGGUCUUCGGAUCGUAAAACUCUGUUAUUAGGGAAGAACAUAUGUGUAAGUAACUGUGCACAUCUGGACGGUACCUAAGCAGAAAGCCACGGCUAACUACGU
rnacentral:rRNA from 1 species